rnacentral:tRNA from 1 species
GCCUGCGUGGCUCAGUCGGUUGGGCGUCUGACUUCAGCUCAGGUCAUGAUCUCACAGUUCGUGGGUUCAAGCCCUGUGUCGGGCU